rnacentral:lncRNA from 1 species
GCAUGUUAAUUCAGUUAACAGGUAUUUUAUCUGGAGAUUUGUUGACAACAAGUUUCCUCAAAUCUCAAGAAUUAUUCUUAGGAUUUCUGCAGAAAAUAGGAUGCUACUUUUCUUCAGGUUGACGUUGCGAGUUUGAAUUCCAAUUUGUUUCAGUCUUUCAGACAGUAUUUUGGCUGUUGCGCCGCCUAGGGCACCAAUUAUUACAGGGAUAAUUGUUGCCUUGUCUUUCAACAAUCUCCUACGCUCUCUGGUUAGUUCUUGAUAUUUUCAUCCUUUUUUUUUUUUUUUUUCAAUUUCUUAGGUAUCGACUCUGCUAUCGUAAAGAAUAUUAUCUUCUAUAAUCAUAUGUGAUCUUCUUGCUUCAAUAAUAUGGCCAGUCUUUAUGGAGAAGUCCUACAAGAUCAGAUCCGACACUGAGAACCAAGACCUUUCCUCCAAAGUUGAUGACCCAUAUAAAAACAUGAGCAGG